rnacentral:rRNA from 1 species
UACAGAGGGUGCAAGCGUUAAUCGGAAUUACUGGGCGUAAAGGGCGAGUAGGUGGCCAUCUAAGUCAGACGUGAAAUCCCCCGGCUUAACCUGGGAACUGCGUCUGAUACUGGACGGCUUGAGUAUGGGGAGAGGAACGUAGAAUUCCAGGUGUAGCGGUGAAAUGCGUAGAUAUCUGGAGGAAUACCGGUGGCGAAGGCGGCGUUCUGGACCAUUACUGACACUGAAUCGCGAAAGCUAGGGGAGCAAACGGG